rnacentral:antisense_RNA from 1 species
GGUGGUAGCGCGAAUGGGAGGUGGAGCGGAGCCACUGCGCCGAGGGACGCUUCAAAAACUCUGACUUUCAGCCAUUCGCGGAUCCUAGGAUGUGACAGGUGUUCGAGUUAAAAGGUCUUAAGGCGAUCGGUUGAUCCAAAAGCAGCUGAAUCUUUAGGAGGCCCAGGCAGGAGGAUCGCUUGAGUCCAGGAGUUCGAGACCAGCCUGGGCCACAGAGCAAGAUCACCGUCUCUGCAAAAGAAAUUUUACAAAUCAGCCGAGCAUGAUGGCGGGCACCUGUGGUCCCAACUACCGGGGAGGCUGAGGUGGGAGGAUCGCUUGAUAGCCCAGAAAGUUGAGGGUGCAGAGACCCCUCCACUGAACUCCAGCCCGGGUGACAGCAGAGCGAGAUCCUGUCUCAAAAAAAACAUAACCGACAUCCAGAAGUUAAAUAAAUUAGCCAGUGUCACAAAGUAUUAAUGGUUGAGUCACGAAUCGUGUUUACCUGAUUCUUUACGUGAUUCCCAUGUAAGGAAUGUUAAAUACUCAUUGCUAUGCGUCCUGGA